GGAGCUACUCCACCUAAUGUCCGACCGUACCGCUAUUCGCCACUGCAGAAGGAUAAGAUAGAGCGCCAGGUUGCAGAAAUGCUUCAGGCCGGUUUGAUCACCACCAGUAUAAGCCCCUUCGCAGCUCCAGUUUUGCUGGUCAAAAAGAAAGACGAUACAUGGCAUCUCUGUGUUGAUUACCGUCGUCUAAAUGACAUCACCAUCAAGAAUAAGUUUCCCUUUCCCAUUAUCGAUGAAUUGCUUGACGAGUUGGCCGGUGCUCGCUUCUUUUCCAAACUCGAUCUGCGCUCCGGUUACCACCAAAUAAGGAUGCACCCUGAGGACGAGGAUAAAACAGCCUUCAAGACCCACCACGGCCAUUUUCAGUUUCGCGUGAUGCCAUUUGGAGUGACGAAUGGUCCUCCCACCUUCCAGUGCGUGAUAAAUUCAGUUUUUGCC
rnacentral:rRNA from 1 species